GACCUCAGCAAGCGGUCCAGGCCCUUGAGCCUGCAGGAAGUGGACGGGCAGCCGCAGCACUCGCUGCAUGUCGCCUACGCCAGGGCGACGGUGGACGAGCUGGGCAAAGUGCUGACGCCCACCUAGGUUAACAGACCCACCAGCAUUUCAUGGGAUGAUCUUGAGUCAAGGAAACUCUACACCUUGGUCCUAACAGACCCGGACGCUCCCGGCAGGAAGAAGCCCCAAUACACUGAAUGGCGUCAUUUCCUGGUGGUCAACAUGAAGGGUAAUGACGUUAGCAGUGGCCCAGUCAUCUCCAUUACGUGGGCUCGGGCCUCCGGAGGGCACAGAUCUCCACCGCUAUGUCUGGCUGGUUUACAAACAGGACAGGCUGCUGAAGUGUGACGAGCCCAUCCUCAGCAAUGGAUCUGGAGGCCACAGUGGCAAAUUCAAAAUGGCAUCCUUCUGUCAAAAGUUCGAGCUUCUCGUGGCCCCAGUGGCCAGAAAGCGUUACCAGGCUGAGUGGGACGACUAUGUGCCCAAACUGCAGGAGCAGCUGUCUGGGA
rnacentral:lncRNA from 1 species